rfam:Ictidomys tridecemlineatus contig073314, whole genome shotgun sequence.
GGGGGUGUGGCUCAGUGGUAGAGCACUUGCCUAGCAUGUAUGAACUGCUGGGUUCGAUUCUCAGCUCUGCAU